UUCUUAUAAUGUUUUAACUAUUUUGUAUUUUGCAUCUAAAUCAUUAUUGCACCUGGAAUUAACUUUAAAAUAUCAUAUGAAAUUGGGGUACUGUGCCAGGCUUCUCCCCACUUCAGGGACUAGGGGCAUUUUUCUCUUCUGUAUAAUUCUUUGUGGGCUUUCUGGGUCAGUAGGGCCACAUGCAGCAAGUAAACAGGUGCAGUCUUUAUGGAAGAGGAACCCAGGCACCUGCUCGCUGAUUUCCCUCACAACCAAAAAACCUGGAUCAUCAUCAGAGACUCCAAACAUAGGUAUGCCCUAUCCUCUGGAUGGAACCACUUAGCUUAGGACAGACACCAAAGAAAAUAGUUUCUAAUUGAUACUUGGUCCCAAAAGACACCUUAGAAGUGUCCUAUGUUCUGUUCACCAUGCCUCCCAUCCAAGUAUGGUAUUACUUAGAAAGGGUAUUUGGAGUAAAUCAGGAGUCUGUGUUCAAGCUGCCCUAACUCAGAAUACAAACAAUACACAAUUAAUACAAGUUUAUACUCACUGAGGAUGAAAAAGUAAAUAGAAAUUAGCAAAGAGAAGGUAGGAAAAAUCACUUGUUUCAGUCCCCCAGAGACAAACACUUCUAGCCUCUUACUGAAUAUCUUUUCAGAGUAUAUAAAUAAAUAUAUAAAGAGAAGUAAAUACAUGAAUUUAAAAAUAUUACUUUCUGUGCUGUUUUUAAUCUUCUCCCCUACUUUUUGGACAUUUGGGUUGCUUCCAAUUCUUUGAUGUCCUAUAUGCAUUGAGAUAAACAUCACUUUCAUCACAUUUUUGUGAAGAUUUACUAUUAUUUCUUUAUUGUAAAUUCCUAGAAUGGUAGUGGCCUGAUCAAGGUGUAUAUUCAUAUUUAAAAUGUUUCCAAAUUGCCUUCUAGGAAAAUUCUGAAGUUUAUACUUCUUCCAGCCACACAUGAGAAUGCCUGUCAGUUCAUAACCCUCCAGGAAAAAAAAAAAAAAAGGUUGUAUGACUAAGCACCAACUCAGUUUCUCUUUAAAGACCACUUAUUCCUUCUAUGGAAGAUAUUUUAUUUUUAUUAUUUGGAUGCUCAGGAUUGAUUUUUCUUUUUAUGAGUAAAAAGGAUUUUAGUUCUCCACUCCUUAGGAGUACGUUUCACAUUGGAGCAAACUACUUCCAUCUGCUCCAGGACUGGACUCUUGUGAACACAUCAAUACAUAUUAUAUUCUCAUCCUCUAAUGACUGAGCAAGCCAGGAUUUUGAAAACAACAAAGAAAAUGAUGUCAGAGAAAAGGAGGGACAGAUGAGAAAGACAAGGACAGGAGGGGCAGGAUACAUCUAGCUGAGCCUGAAGCAAGAACUAUUGCUAGAAUUUUUACUAACAUGAGCCAAUCACUUUUUUUGACUUUUAACCAUCUAUCCAAAGUCACACAAGACUGCAAUAUGGAGGCCAACUCAAGGGAUUUUGGGAGAUCUUUCUGCUCCAUUAAAAUUUUGAGAAACAUAUUUUGGCUUCUGGAAAUUUCUGAAAAAUUCCUCAAAAUUAUGGUUUCCGUACUUUACCUCAGGGUUCUUUCCUAACUUUUUAAGAUGGAUUGAGAAAUUAGAGGGGGAAUCCUGAGAUCAUUUCCCAAGAAUCUUCAAAAAAGUCACCUCAGGCACUUUUUUUUUGAAUGCCGUAUUUUCCAGCAUCUAGUCUCAGCACAAAUCUCUUGCAUGUACAAUAAGCGUAAAUAACAAGUUCUAAAAUCUUGUACUUCCCUUUAAAAGGAUGGAAUGCCCCUGGCGCACACAACCAAUAAAUACCCUUUGUAGCGAUUCCUUAGGUGCUGAAUUUUGGGAAGCCAAAUCCUGAUCAUUGUCAACAUGUUCUUUUGAAGUAAUGAUUUAUAUGGUAUAUUGUCAGGGUUUUAAUGAUCAAAGGUAACAAUGUUUUAUUUCUUUCGUACUCUUUGUUUGAAGAAAUGUAAAAACCAGCUGGUGUUAGCUGCACAGCUUGAACCGCCCACCCCCUAGGAAGAAUUUACACGUUUAAAGUAUUG